rnacentral:rRNA from 1 species
GUUGAACGCUGGCGGCAGGCCUAACACAUGCAGGCGAGGGGGUGAAGGGAGGUUGCCCCUGGAAUCAGGGGGGGGAGGGGGGGGAAUGGCCAGGAAACUUCCCGGGAGGGGGGGAUAAAGGUCGGAAACGGGGGGCAAUACCGCCAACGGCCCGAGGGAGAAAGGGGGGGGUCUUCGGGCCUCACGCCUUUAGAUGGGCCUAGGUCGGAUUAGCUAGUUGGUGGGGUAAAGGCCUACCAAGGCGACGAUCCGUAACUGGUCUGAGAGGAUGAUCAGUCACACUGGAACUGAGACACGGUCCAGACUCCUACGGGAGGCAGCAGUGGGGAAUAUUGGACAAUGGGCGAAAGCCUGAUCCAGCCAUGCCGCGUGUGUGAAGAAGGUCUUCGGAUUGUAAAGCACUUUAAGUUGGGAGGAAGGGCAGUAAGUUAAUACCUUGCUGUUUUGACGUUACCAACAGAAUAAGCACCGGCUAACUUCGUG